rnacentral:rRNA from 1 species
GCACGGAGUUAGCCGGGGCUUCCUCUGGUGGUACCGUCAGCGAAGGCGAGUUGUUCACUCCCUCCGGAUUCGUCCCACCUGACAGGGCUUUACACUCCAAAGAGCUUCGUCGCCCACGCGGCGUCGCUGCGUCAGACUUUCGUCCAUUGCGCAAAAUUCCUCACUGCUGCCUCCCGUAGGAGUCUGGACCGUGUUUCAGUUCCAGUGUGGCCGGACAGCCUCUCAGCCCGGCUACCCAUCGUCGCCUUGGUAGGCUUUUACCCUACCAACUAGCUAAUGGGACGCGAGCCCAUCUCCCUGCGCAAGCUUUCAUGAAGAGGCCUGCUUUGGUCUCCAAUCCCUGCAGACGGAGACUUCAUUCUGGUAUUAGCGCCAGUUUCCCGACGUUAUCCCGAACAGCGGAGGUAGGUUACUCACGCGUUACUCACCCGUGCGCCACUUUACUCCCUCAUCCGAAGACAAGGUUUCUCGUUCGACUUGCAUGUGUUAGGCACGCCGCCAGCGUUCGUU